rnacentral:lncRNA from 1 species
ACUAGAAACCAAACAACACUUAUUCACAUGUUAAAGCCAUAGGAGAAAAUAAGAAGGAAAAUGGCUUCAAAGGGUGUUGUUGCACCCGUUGCCCAUUUCCUUUUCCUCUCCCUUAUUUUCUUUCCCAUGGUUAGUUCAAACAACCAUUCCCUUCCACUAGAAUCCUCACCACUUCGCAAACAAGACCCACCACAUCACAAACCACUCCCACCACAUCGUGAACAACCACCACAUCACGAACAACCACCACAUCCUAAAAAACCACCAGUAUCACACAAAUCACCCCCACCACCCCUACCUCGUCGUGUACCACCUCCACCACAUUCUAAAAAACCACCAAUAUCACAUAAGUCACCACCACCACCCCCACUACGUCGUGUACCACCUCCUAAGAAACCACCAGUAUCACAUAAAUCACCACCACCACCACCCCCACCACGUCGUGUACCACCUCCACCACCUCCUAAGAAACCACNNN